rnacentral:rRNA from 1 species
UGGGGAAUAUUGCACAAUGGGCGAAAGCCUGAUGCAGCAACGCCGCGUGAGGGACGACGGCCUUCGGGUUGUAAACCUCUUUUAGCAAGGAAGAAGCGAAAGUGACGGUACUUGCAGAAAAAGCGCCGGCUAACUACGUGCCAGCAGCCGCGGUAAUACGUAGGGCGCAAGCGUUAUCCGGAAUUAUUGGGCGUAAAGAGCUCGUAGGCGGUUUGUCGCGUCUGCUGUGAAAAACCCGAGGCUCAACCUCGGGCCUGCAGUGGGUACGGGCAGACUAGAGUGCGGUAGGGGAGAUUGGAACUCCUGGUGUAGCGGUGGAAUGCGCAGAUAUCAGGAAGAACACCGAUGGCGAAGGCAGAUCUCUGGGCCGUAACUGACGCUGAGGAGCGAAAGGGUGGGGAGCAAAACAGGCUUAGAUACCCUGGUAGUCCACCCCGUAAACGUUGGGAACUAGUUGUGGGGUCCAUUCCACGGAUUCCGUGACGCAGCUAACGCAUUAAGUUCCCCGCCUGGGGAGUACGGCCGCAAGG